UACAGAGGUCUCAAGCGUUGUUCGGAUUCAUUGGGCGUAAAGGGUGCGUAGGUGGCGCCGUAAGUGGGGUGUGAAAUUUCGGAGCUUAACUCCGAAACUGCAUUCCAUACUGCGGUGCUUGAGGACUGGAGAGGAGACUGGAAUUCAUGGUGUAGCAGUGAAAUGCGUAGAGAUCAUGAGGAAGACCAGUGGCGAAGGCGGGUCUCUGGACAGUUCCUGACACUGAUGCACGAAGGCCAGGGGAGCGAACGGG
rnacentral:rRNA from 1 species